rnacentral:rRNA from 1 species
UGAGGAACCUGCCCCGGACUCCGGAAUAACAGUGGGAAACCCACCGCUAAUACCGGAUGUCUCCACCAUCUCGCAUGGGAAGGUGAAGAAAGAUUUAUCGGUUCGGGAGGGCCUCGCGGCCUAUCAGCUUGUUGGUGGGGUAACGGCCCACCAAGGCAUCGACGGGUAGCUGGUCUGAGAGGAUGAUCAGCCACACUGGGACUGAGACACGGCCCAGACUCCUACGGGAGCAGNAG